UUCGGGGUCGUCUAAUGGCAGGACGCAGGAUUUUGGCUCCUGAAAUAAAGGUUCAAAUCCUUUCCCCGAAGCCA
rnacentral:tRNA from 1 species